rnacentral:rRNA from 1 species
GUGAGGAAUUUUCCGCAAUGGGCGAAAGCCUGACGGAGCAAUGCCGCGUGAAGGAUGAAGGCCUAUGGGUUGUAAACUUCUUUUCUCAGAAAAGAAUUAUGACGGUAUCUGAGGAAUAAGCAUCGGCUAACUCUGUGCCAGCAGCCGCGGUAAGACAGAGGAUGCAAGCGUUAUCCGGAAUGAUUGGGCGUAAAGCGUCUGUAGGUUGUUUAAAAAGUAUUCUGUCAAAGAUUAGGGCUUAACCCUAGAUAGGCAGAAUAAACUUUUAAGCUAGAGUUUGGUAGAGGCAGAGGGAAUUCCCGGUGGAUCGGUGAAAUGCGUAGAUAUCGGGAGGAACACCAAAGGCGAAGGCACUCUGCUGGGCCAAUACUAACACUGAGAGACGAAAGCGAGGGGAGCAAAUGGGAUUAGAAACCCUGGUAGUCC